AUGCACAGCAUCGCGGAGGCCACCGGCGGCACCUUCUCCUUCAUUGAGAAUCAGGCAGGGAUCAAGGAGUCGUUCGCGCAGUGCAUCGGCGGGCUCCUCUCGGUCGCCGUGCAGGAGGCGCGCAUCUCCGUGACGUGCCUGCACCGUGGCGUGCGCGUCCUGGAGUUAAAGUCCGGCUCCUACGGCAACCACGUGGGCACCGAUGGACGUGUCGCCUCCAUCGACGUUGGCGAGCUCUACGGUGGGGAGGACAGGCGCUUCUUGGUGCUCAUGCACGUUCCGAGAGUCAGACCCACGGAGUCGGUUACCCGCCUUGUCAAGGUGAGCUGCACCUACAAGGACGCCGCGACAGCGCAGGCGGCCCACGUCGCCGCACCGGCGGCGGUGAUCAAGCGGCUGUUGGAGCUAGAGCUGGCCGAAAUCCCCGCUCCAUCCAUUGAGGUGGAGCGGGAAUGGAUCCGGCUUGCCGCGACGCAAGACAUGGCGGCCGCACAGGUAGCCGCUGAGGGGGCAGAGUACGCCUGCGCUGUUCGGAUCCUGGAUUCUCAGCUGAAGACCGUGGAGAAGUCUGCACCAGGGGCGGCUGGUGAUCCGACGUGCGAGGUGCUGAAGGAGGAGCUGCGUGACCUGACCGCCCGCGUGCGCGGCCCGCUGGAGUACCUGCGGACGGGGCGCGCGUGCCUGCUGGCCGGCAUGAGCUCGCACGCGCAGCAGCGGGCCUCGGCGUCCACCAACAGCAAGGCUCGGGCGUACCUGACUCCCAAGAUGGACGAGAUGGUGAAGGUGUCGCGUGAGCAAAGCAGGAAGCGUGGCAGCAGCUAG
rnacentral:rRNA from 1 species